CUGCUAACUCAAACAGCAUAUAUACUAAAAUUGGAACAAAACAGAGAAGAUUAGCAGAACCCUGUAGAGGAAUGACAUGCAAAUUCAUGAAACAUUCCAUAUUCUC
ensembl:snRNA U6 U6 spliceosomal RNA